AAAACUCAGAUAAUUAAUAGGCUUGAAAGACAACUUUUCAAUUUCCCUCUAUACCCUUAUUUAAUUUCAUCUAUGUUAAAACUCUUCAGUUAUCUCACAUUUAUCAACUUCAUUUUUUUUUCUUCUUUUAUUUUCUGAAUUGAUGUGGAACUUGAAGGGUUUCCAUUGACGAGGAAUCCUCCAAUCUCAUCUUUUCUCUUCACCGGGUCUGCAGGCAACAACGAGUAGCAGUGGUGGUUUUCAAAGACAACAAAGGCAACUAAUUAAUCUAAAUAUUCAGAUUGGAAUGAUCUAAUUUGUUCGUGGGGAAAAGACCGCUACUUCUUGGUUUCCACUCAAGACGAAGGAGCCUUGUGAUAGUUAUUGGAGUUUCAACUUAGAUGACAGAAGGGCAUUAAGGAUCCACACAGUUCUAAUAUCUUUCUGGCACCUCCCACUUGAUGGGAUCAUCAGGAGAAUUAAUUUAGUUGAUAGAGACCAUGACGAUUAAGUUUUCAAGUUGCUUAUGAAUUGCAACGUUUGAUUUGAUUACCAGGAACACUUUGUUCAUUGUGUUUUGUUAUCAUUAUUUGUGUACCACCACAUAUAAUCAGACUUGCAUUAUUCGUUGUUUGACCUGGUUAAGUACACAGAACUCCAGGGGCUCAGUAAAACCUUUACGUUUAGGCACUCGGAGCGUCUCUCUCUAAAAUCUAGAGAGAGAAAACAUAUCUGAAAAAAAAAAAAAAAAAAACCUUUCUCCCUCCCCCUUCUCUCUUGCCAGAUCUUGAUCCCUCCGGAUCUAGAUCGAAGGCUUGAGAGUUGGGGGCGGCCUCUCUCGUUUGGCUUCUCUGUUUUCUCAAUUCCUCAUCUUUUUCUCUUGCUUUUCUCACACCCCUGUGGUGAUUUUGCUAGCUCAUGUCCAGUUCUAGAGGACUUUGUUCCCUCCUUUCUUUGCCGAUCAACCCAAAAAAAAAUUCAGAUCCAAGAAACUCCAUGAUUCCCCUCACCCAUCACCUCACACCAGCUCCCCUCCAUCCACCAAAGACCUGCUCCAUGAAGGAUUUCGUGUCUACCUCUUAAAAGUGAGAAUCACUUACCAAAAGGAGUAUGGGUGUUCACGCAUGGGUGUUUCACCCCCCAUUCACCAUUGGAUUUUUUCUUUGCUAUUGGCUUCUGUCAUACUUCGGUGGCUUUGUUCCCUUCCCGGUUUGAGUCUCUCUGGUGGAGAAGAGAGAGACAAUGUGUGGUAUUGGUUUAUUUCUCUCAUCCCCUUUAAUUUUGGUUUUGACUAGAUCUGCUUUUUAGGAUUGUUCUGGCAACGGUUAUUCGGUACUCAUCACCUCGAUUUAGCACUUCUCGCAUCCUCUUGGCUUCUGGAAGCGGCGGCGGUGGCGACUGCAGCGGCUGUUCAGAACAGUUUGGGCGGCGGCGGUUGUGUUGGUAUUGUAGGAGUUGAUGUUUUAUUUAAUUUUUAGGGUUACACUAUUUUGCCCUAUCUAUGUGGAUUAUGGUUGAGUUGUAAUUUUCCUUAUUGAGUUUAUUUGUACUUGGGCCUUGUUUUGGGCACAUUCCAUUGGGUUUACUCCCAUUGGUAAUUAUUAAUGAAGCUUCAUUAAUAUCCAAAAAGAAAAAAGUGCAUAGAACUCCAAGGUAGCAAAUCGACGAGGUCAUAUUCUUGUAUUCCACCUACAGAAAGCCAAUCAAGUCAAUCCUAUGGUGUCUAUUUCUAAAUGGUCGAGAAGGGUUGUUUGAUCGUGAUAAAGCUGAGAGAGUGAUUUACAUCCUCUUGGAACUGUUCUUCUUAACUGCAAAAUGCUGAUGAGUCAAUUUGAUAUUCUGAACCUCAAGCACAUACAUAGAGAGGGUAAUGUGGUUGUUGAUAUCCUUGCCAAAGAAAGUGUGCAACAUGCUUCUGGGAUUUGCACUUUUCAAAGUCCUCCUAGUAUAGUUGUGGAAGCCUUGCUUGAUGAUAUUUGAGGUGUUUCUACUUUCUAGACCUCGACAAGUUUGUAAAAGUCAUCUUGGCUAGUUUGUCUUUUCUUGUUUGGGCUUCUUGCCUCCAUUGUACCAAAAAAAAAACUGAGAGAGUGCCACAAUGAGUGGUUGGUGAUGCAAUUGCAAAGAGUGAUGAAGGAAGAGGAACAUUUUUCAUUCA